AGAGUUUGAUCCUGGCUCAGGAUGAACGCUGGCGGCGUGCUUAACACAUGCAAGUCGAACGAACCUUCGGGUUAGUGGCGGACGGGUGAGUAACGCGUGGGAAUCUGCCCUCAGGAGGGGGAUAACGGCUGGAAACGGCCGCUAAUACCCCAUAUGCCGAGAGGUGAAAUGAAUUUCGCCUGAGGAUGAGCCCGCGUCUGAUUAGCUUGUUGGUGAGGUAAUGGCUCACCAAGGCUUCGAUCAGUAGCUGGUCUGAGAGGAUGAUCAGCCACACUGGGACUGAGACACGGCCCAGACUCCUACGGGAGGCAGCAGUGGGGAAUUUUCCGCAAUGGGCGAAAGCCUGACGGAGCAACGCCGCGUGAGGGAUGAAGGCCUCUGGGCUGUAAACCUCUUUUCUCAAGGAAGAAGAUCUGACGGUACUUGAGGAAUAAGCCACGGCUAAUUCCGUGCCAGCAGCCGCGGUAAUACGGGAGUGGCAAGCGUUAUCCGGAAUUAUUGGGCGUAAAGCGUCCGCAGGCGGCCUUUCAAGUCUGCUGUUAAAACGUGGAGCUUAACUCCAUCAAGGCAGUGGAAACUGUUGGGCUUGAGUGUGGUAGGGGCAGAGGGAAUUCCCGGUGUAGCGGUGAAAUGCGUAGAUAUCGGGAAGAACACCAGUGGCGAAGGCGCUCUGCUGGGCCAUAACUGACGCUCAUGGACGAAAGCCAGGGGAGCGAAAGGGAUUAGAUACCCCUGUAGUCCUGGCCGUAAACGAUGAACACUAGGUGUCGGGGGAAUCGACCCCUUCGGUGUCGUAGCCAACGCGUUAAGUGUUCCGCCUGGGGAGUACGCACGCAAGUGUGAAACUCAAAGGAAUUGACGGGGGCCCGCACAAGCGGUGGAGUAUGUGGUUUAAUUCGAUGCAACGCGAAGAACCUUACCAGGGUUUGACAUCCUGCGAACCUCUAAGAAAUUGGAGGGUGCCUUCGGGAACGCAGUGACAGGUGGUGCAUGGCUGUCGUCAGCUCGUGUCGUGAGAUGUUGGGUUAAGUCCCGCAACGAGCGCAACCCACGUUUUUAGUUGCCAGCAUUAAGUUGGGCACUCUAGAGAGACCGCCGGUGAUAAACCGGAGGAAGGUGUGGAUGACGUCAAGUCAUCAUGCCCCUUACAUCCUGGGCUACACACGUACUACAAUGCUACGGACAAAGGGCAGCGAACUCGCGAGGGCAAGCAAAUCCCAUAAACCGUGGCUCAGUUCAGAUCGUAGGCUGCAACUCGCCUACGUGAAGGAGGAAUCGCUAGUAAUCGCAGGUCAGCAUACUGCGGUGAAUACGUUCCCGGGCCUUGUACACACCGCCCGUCACACCAUGGAAGUCGGCCACGCCCGAAGUCGUUACUCCAACCCUUGUGGAGGAGGACGCCGAAGGUGGGGCUGAUGACUGGGGUGAAGUCGUAACAAGGUAGCCGUACCGGAAGGUGCGGCUG
rnacentral:rRNA from 1 species